AUUUAACUCUGGCGGUAGGCCUAACACAUGCAAGUCGAACGGCAGCACAGUAAGAGCUUGCUCUUACGGGUGGCGAGUGGCGGACGGGUGAGGAAUACAUCGGAAUCUACUUUUUCGUGGGGGAUAACGUAGGGAAACUUACGCUAAUACCGCAUACGACCUACGGGUGAAAGCAGGGGAUCUUAGGACCUUGCGCGAUUGAAUGAGCCGAUGUCGGAUUAGCUAGUUGGCGGGGUAAAGGCCCACCAAGGCGACGAUCCGUAGCUGGUCUGAGAGGAUGAUCAGCCACACUGGAACUGAGACACGGUCCAGACUCCUACGGGAGGCAGCAGUGGGGAAUAUUGGACAAUGGGCGCAAGCCUGAUCCAGCCAUACCGCGUGGGUGAAGAAGGCCUUCGGGUUGUAAAGCCCUUUUGUUGGGAAAGAAAAGCAGCAGGUUAAUACCCCGCUGUUCUGACGGUACCCAAAGAAUAAGCACCGGCUAACUUCGUG
rnacentral:rRNA from 1 species